rnacentral:lncRNA from 1 species
UCAAAAACAUACUAAAAACAUACAUCUUAAAUUUCUAAGUAAACAAUCUACGAUGUAUCAAAGGUCGACGGCAUCAUUAUCUCUACGAGUAGAUGAAGUAUCAGCAACCUACAUGGAAAAAAAAAUACUUUAGAAACUAAGAAUACGAAAGUCAUCACGCUCAUACUAGAAUACAUUAUAAUUACGUAAAAUAUUCAUAUAGAUUUAGUUAUGUACCGGAGGAUCAAAUCUCUGCAAAAAAUAUGAAAUAUGGUCAAGCUGAUCCUGCAAAGAUUGUAUCUUCAACUCUUGGCUCUGCUUCAACUCCGCCAUAUCGGUCAUAUGACUCUGCCUCAUCUCCUCUAUCCUUAUCUCAUAUGACUGCAUUAUCUGUGCCAUCUCUGUCUUCAAACUACUGACCUCUGCAGUACUAGUACCUUGUCUGGCAUCUUGGGUAUAUCGGCUCACUGCAGACAGCUGAGUGGGGAUAACUCCGACACCGUAACCCCUCACGCGACCAUAAGGUUCUGGGCCCAUCAAUUCGGCAUAGACCUGAGCCUCGAUGCGACUGGCCGCGUCGGAUGAUGAUGACUCCCUGACGUGCUCUGAAAUAAGAGUUGUAGAUCUUUUCUAUAUCUCUCUAGAAAAAAACAAUCACAUUAACAUUUUAAAAAAGUAAAAUUAAUAAAAAAAAUUGUGAACAAAUAAAAAAUGAAUACAUACAACUAUAUCUCUCGACUCGUCCCGGACAAAGCUGUCAUCUCGGUGAGUGUGGGUCAUCUUAUAAAACUCUACCUCACCAGGCUCCCUUCCAUGCUCUACUAUCUACACAUAUGGAAAGUAUAUUGGCAAACUAUAUAUCAUGAUACGUGCUAUAUGUUAGUAGAGUUUCAAAUAGUUUCAAAAGAACUUACGAAUUCAUUUCUACAUUUCGCAUAACUCUUCGAGCCUGAAGUGUGAGGAAUUGUUUGAGAUGCUCGUGCAGCUCUACCAAUAUUAGAAUAUGUCUACUAAAAUAAAAGCACACAUUAUAAUAUGAUUCAAUAUAUAUAUUUGCAAUCUAUAUUAAUAAUAAAGAUAAUAAAAGAUAUUGAAACAAUAUACGUGACCUGUCCUCUUUCAGAAAACCAGUAGUGAACAAGCUCCCUCCACUGCUGAGGGUAUACAUCAGGAGGAGUCACACGAGCAACCUCCUUCUCUGUCAUACCCUCGUGCUUGAAGUCCGUCUUCAAUUUUGCUUUAUAUUCUUUCCAUUUGCGGUUGAAAAACUUUAACACCCAAUCAUGGCUUUCUAGAGGGAGUACAAACUUACUCUACAAUAAGAUACAGAAUGUUAUAAUAAUAUUAAACCUCAAAAGUAAAAUUAAGGUAGUAAGCAAAUUAAUAUACAGGAGGUGUCAAAUUAAAAAAAACAAAUUCAAUUCAUUACCUGUAUAAGUCUAAGAAGUUCAACCUUAUACGAAGGAAGCAUGUCAUUCCACUUCGUAUAGUUGAGCAGACACAACUGACCCUUGCGUGCAACCGAUCCUAAAAAGCUUGAUAGAAGACUUCCGGCUCUAUUGAUGGGUUGCCCCAAUUCAUUGCAUCGGAUGAUGAUCUUCUCACCCGGAGGAAGCUUCCACACAUCCUUUGCUUGAGUGGGUCCCCGUUCGUCCUCACCGUCCCUUGUCCAUCUAUUAAAAUUAAAUAAAAUAUGUCUUAAAAUGUUGAAGACAAAUAUGAACAUAAAAUAUGAACUUUAAAUCGAAUUACCUUGGAUCCGGAGCUCAUCCUCCGGGCAAUCAGCAGGAGGCUCGCGCUGAGAUCCUGACUUGUGCUGCUGGUGCUCACAUGGCUGCUGGGACAGCAGAGACUGAUCAGAAGUAGAUCCCACCUGAGAAUGCUGGAACUCCACAUCUCUAAAUCGUCUCCCUCGGGGCAUAUUGUUACCUGGUAGCAAAUCUAAGGCAUGCAUUAGGACCCUCGGGAUGCUAUUUUGCCUGGAUUGAUUAAAAAAUGUUACCAAUUUUUCUUUACAAGCAUAGUUUAUCUGGCGACAUGCACUAUAUCGAAGUCUAUGCAAAAAAAAAUAUCGAAAUAAAUUAUAAAUUUCAAUUUCAAAUGAAAUAAAGAACAAAUACAAAUAAAGAAAAAACUUUGCUGACAAUUAUAGAUUUUUGUCUGGUCGGAAGAGUCCUUCUAAUAUUCUGGCCCUACCCUAACAAACUAUAUGCUUCCAGUACUCUAACAUAGAAAGAAGGAGCUAUUUCUUUGAUUCUUCCGUGGAUCUCCGAAAAUAUUGGAAAGUGUCCCUCCCAAGAUUCCGUAUAGGCGAGAAGGAGCCUGCCUUUAUCCGACUUUCUUUAUCUAUGAUAAGAGUUUUCCUUUUUGAC